GUCCACGCCGUAAACUAUCAAUACUCGUUUUCAGCGAUAUACUGUUGGAGACUAAGCGAAAGUGAUAAGUAUUGCACCUGGGGAGUACGAUCGCAAGGUUGAAACUCAAAGGAAUUGACGGGGGCCCGCACAAGCGGUGGAGCAUGUGGUUUAAUUCGAUGAUACGCGAGGAACCUUACCAGGGCUUAAAUGUAGAGGGAAUUUAGUGGAAACAUUAGAGUCUUCGGACCGUCUACAAGGUGCUGCAUGGCUGUCGU
rnacentral:rRNA from 1 species